CAAACCCUAUUUUUGAUAUAACCUGAUUUCUUCUAAAAUGUUGUUAUGUAAUGUUAUGAAAUGACACGCUCUGUCACAUUCUUUAUUUUCUUUCAAAGAAUCAAAUUAUUUUGUCAUUUUGAGUUACACGUGAAAUCUGAUUGUCAUGACACCAAACACUUCGUGAACAGGUUUGAAGAGCCGCGGUCCAGGGUAAUACUGCCACCCCAGAAAAAGUUCGACUCAUAAGGAAUUAGAGAUAUUUACGGACACAAUAAUGUUUCGCCGCUUCCAACUAAAACGAUUUGUAACAAAAUUUGAGACGCUAAUUUUUGGUGUCAGAAAGGCGAAAUUAAAUAGAAUGGAGGUGACAGAAGUGGCACUUGAUUUUGUCCGAAAGAGUUGGCACUCCUGCUCCCCAGCCACACACUGAACGACGAAAAGUAGGAAGGCGUCGGUUUAACGGUUCUUUGGUUUGAACUGCGAAGAGCAUCUCCCAAGUUGUUGUCAUUAAUAUUUGCUUCCUUGCUAAUUUGAGCUUAACAGAAUGUGCCUGCAACGUUAAUAAAGUGUAGUGUCUUGUUUCGCAACUGAAGCGGCGUACUGCAGCAAGCAGCCCGCAGUCUCAGUAGGUAACGACGCUUAGCCUCCUAACCCCCCUAUCUAGGCACGAGUGUACUGUACUUCGCACUUCAGAGCUAACAAGAAAACUUCAUAUCCUCUGCUGUGGAUUUUUUUGUGGAUUGUUGUGCAUUGUCCGCACUUGGUAUUUCGUACUACAACUUCUAUUUUGCUGCUGCUCUACAAAUAAGGGUGAACCUAAUGUGGAAUCUCACAAAGUUAAGGCGGACUACUUAAACUACUCCAAUACAGUUAUCUACGACCACAUCUGCUGUGUGAGUACGUUCACUGAAUAUAGCCAGUUUGCUGCAACAAGAGUGUCGCAAUAUCUACGCAGUGAGGUUAAAUAAGACAAGGAACACAUUUGCAGCAGCAAAGUAGCAAUGUACAAUCGCCAAUAAUUGCUUCAAACACAAGCCAGCAAGAAGAGACAUAUUUUUAUUUCAUAGUUCCUUUUUUCUUUUGAGUGAUUUUUUGAAUAUUCUGACCUGCGAAUUCGAAGUUGGUUUUAUGAUCUUUGCAAUGCUUCAACAUUUUGCCCGCUUCUGUUAUUUAUUUUUGGUUUGUAUUAAAACUGCAGUGUCAAUUUAA